rnacentral:lncRNA from 1 species
GCACAGACCGCUGACUUGAAGCACUUGAACACUUAGUAUGUGUCACAUUUAACUCUUGCUUCUUGAAAAUAAAUGUUAGGAAAAGUCUUCGGUCCGUGCACACCAUGGUAAUGCAAGUGCCAUUGUCCCAGAGUAAGGAAACUGGAAGAGAACUUAUUUGUACUCACGAAAGCCAAAGUAUUUGUUGCCAUAUUUGAACUCUGUUGAUGAGCUGUGUUGAAGGAGUUUAGCAUUGUUUAAAGAGCAUCAAUAUAUAAGUAGUUUCUCCUUUGGAAUAUUGACAUCAGCAGAUGUUUCUGAGCAUGUUAUAUUAGCAUAUCAGUCUUUUCAGCACAUCACUAGUUGUAAAAUUUGUGCUUAAGAAUUACUUGUUUGAUGAAAACAAGUAAUUAAAAAAAUCCUUUUUUAAAAAAUUACCCUUUUAGAAAUGAGGAAUUCAAUCAGAGCCUUACUUGACUUUAGUGCAAGGAGUCUGCUUUACUUUUUUUGUGAGAUUGUGGUAUGUGUUAAGAGGAGAAUAAAAUGCUGUUGUUAAAUGUCCUUAGCACCUAUGCUUUUUUUUAGUGGCACUCUCUGGAAGACACCUUUUCUCCGCUGAUGUGUGUACUGCCUGUUCACAAAACAGCCAUGUGGCUUAGUGUGGGUAUAUACUAUUGCCCCGACUCGCUAGUGUGUUAAAAGGGCUGAUGUGCUGGCUCUGUGAGUGUUUGCAUGUGCCAGUGUUAAGGGCCAUCCCCCUGAAGGAUCAGACUACCUUGGCAAUUGACAGUUACUCUAAUUACCCAUAGAAUAAAUCAGAAUAAGAUAGAGUAAAAUAAUGUAUUUGUAGAAUCCUCACUCAAUUGCUAUGUUUGUAAAAGCUAUGGAAAUAAACUUGACUACUUAAAUUAGGACCAGAGGAUUCCUUCAUCCUGUGUUAGCCUGUAGCCAGGUUGCCUUACAGUUACGUAUCUAAAGAUCUAGCGCUUACUGUCUCUUGAGUUGUCUCAUGUUGGUCUCAGAAUACCACAUGUAUUUAGCAACUCCUCCCAUCCAUUAGGACCCCAAACUUUCCUUGAGGGUUAUUCAGAUUCAAAAAGAUUUUGUAAACUUGGCUCACUAAAGGAGUGGUUAUGACAUUCCUUCCUUAAAGCCAGCAAUGUUCCUUCGUACUUUGGAAACAUUAACAUCUCUUUGGCAUGGCAGGAACUGAAAAGCCAUCAACCUGUUGUAAUGCAAUAUGUCCCUUCCUGUCACAUAGGGCAAAGUGUAAAGCCCAGGUAGAUGUGUUCUCAGAGUGUGCCAGGUUACAUUUUCUGUUGAACAUAAAAUUUGAUCACACAGGGUUAUGCAGCUGGUUGUUGUUCACAUUUGAGAUUAACCUUCAUAUUUGCCCAUUGCUUUGGGUUGAUGAAAGCGUGAGCGAUGACUGCCCAAUUCUCUUUGAAGAAUUCAAUUUCAACAAGAUCAACAUAAGCUAUUUCAGCAGUGCUUACAUCAGUAUCAAUUGAGAUUAUUUAUUCAUGAGGCUAGAAUAAACAGCAUCAUCUGUACAAAAAUCCCUGCAGCUCCUUUCAUGUUGAUGGCUGAGGAUGACAUCCUACUGGUGUAUACGGAAAGAGCAGAAAUACAUGAUGCCUUUUUUUGCUUCAGUCUUCACAGGCAAAGUCUGCUGCUUUUUCUGUGGGUAAGAGCAUCAUUUCUGAAGGUGAGUGGCUGCCUACAAUGGAGGAGCAAUGGGUUAGAACGGCUUUAGAGCACAGUGCUCUUAAGUCACCUUAUAACCAUGGCACUGCAUGAGCCUUACACACAAGUCUAGUUUAAUAGCAUUGCCUAUCAGCGAUAAAAAAAAGUGUAAUCAAGGAGGUCCCUGACAACUGGAUUGAGGCUGUUGUCCCCUUUUUUAAAAAAGGUGAAGUGAAGGGUCUAGGGAAGUACUGGUUGAUCAAACUUAUCUCAGUCUCCAAAAAAUCAUGGACCAUGUGCUGCAUGUACUUUUGGAAUCCAUCUCCAGCACGCAAAGAGCAAGGUGAUGAAGAACAAUCACCUGAGAGUCAUGAUGGCAAAUCAUGCUUGACCAAGGUGGUUGUCUUCUAGGAGGAAAUGUCUGGUUAGGUGGACAAAGGAAGAGCCAUGAAUUUAAUGAUGAAAAUUCAGUGCAAGUAUAAACUAUGUAAUUGCUUAAUAGUCUAUUAUUAAACACUGCACAUUGCUACUAUUAAAGUCAACAGGCAAGCUGUCAGUUAAGGUUUUGCAAAUUUUGGUGCUUGUUCAUUGCAUUCUGCUUGCCAAUGUACCUUUUGUACUGCUGAGGAGGGACUCUGUUAGCGACUGUAGUGAUAGGAUAAGGGCUGAUGGGUUCAAACUUAAACAGGGGAAGUUCAGGUCACAUAUAAGGAAGAAGUUCAUUACUGCGAGGGUGGUGAGGCACAGGAACAGGUUGGCCAAGGAAGUUGUGAAUGUUCUAUCCCUGGCAGUGUUCAAAGCCAGGCUGGACAGAGUCUUGGGUGACAUGGUUUAGUGUGUAGUCUCUCUUCCCAUGGCAGGGUGUUGGAACUAGACCUUAAGGUCCUUUCCAACCCUAACUAUUCUAUGAUUCUAUAACUGGCUUAUGGGUGGUACUGGGUCUGUAGCAUAGAGGUGUGAAUUACUUUUGCAGUAAGCCAGUAUCAUUUGCAUUACAGAAAUCAAUUUAGUCACAUUAUAAUUAUGCCCAAUGCAUUAUUAUUUUGUUAAAUAUCCCAUAGCAAAGAAUCUCGAUAAAUUAGAUGCAGCAAUGUUGAAUAAUACUACUGGCAUUUGAGAGAUUUGCAAUGAGAUGUAGAAGAAUUAGACUCCCAAAUGAGUUGAAAGUAUUUCAAGUGGAUGUCUGAUAAGAAAAAAUAUUCCAAAAUUGGUGAGUGCCACAACACAUUUGACAGUUAUACAAGUUUUUGAUUUUAUCCCAGAAGGUUUUAUUCUUACGUAUCAUGAGAAUUAUAUAUUAUGUCCCCUGCUGCAGCCAUAGAUCAUUCUUGUUUUUAUAAUAGCUUCUACAGCCUGACUAUUUUAUAGCCAUUCGGUAACACAGUUUUUGCUUGAGCAAAGACCCUGUUCCUAGGGUACACUUAGUCUGGGAAUGGUGAGAGGUCCAAGAAAUGCUGUUAAGGGAGACUGUAAAAGCAUGUAGCCAGCUGAGAAAGAGACACAAAGUGUGGUUGUCUAAGGGAAAAGGUAGUGUCUAGAAAUGUAUUUCUGGAGCAAGAGUCUGCUGCUUAGGAUUGGGGCCAGUAGAAAUCUCAAAAUUGUAAAAGAAACAGACUGGGAUGUAGAGCUGGGGACUUGCUGCAAUUAAAUCUUACUCCUUAGCAAGGACAAUGCCUGAGGUGUUACAAAGAACCUGUGCAGUCACAAGUGAGAAAUAUUGUCAGUCCUCAGGAAGAGGAUGAACCCCAGUACAGUGUUGCUUGGUCCAGGAGAGGAUAUCCUCUCUAGUGAUGCUGUCCCCUUUGCAGCAUCUCUCAUAAUAAUUAAUGAAAACAUCAGAGCAGAUACCUGAAUACCAGAGCAGGAGUUAUGACCAAAAAAAUGCUUGGAAGAGAGGAACAUGGAGCCUAUUUUUACACAAAAGGAAUAGGAGGCAGUGGAGUAACACAAUUGUGUGCAGUGACUCUGCAGGGAAACAAGGAUCUGACUGCUGAAAGCUGAUAGUAGGUAGAAACCAGCAUUCACAUGUUCCUCCUUUUCCCUGCCUAGCAGUGGAAGCAUUGUGGCCGUGCUGUAGAAGCCCUCUUUUCCUUUACAGCAAGGUGACUGCAAGAUCUUGCCUUUAUGCCUGACAUAGUUCCUGUGGGCAGUUCAGCUUAGACAGGGUGACAGAGUCCAGAAGUGGCCCCAGCUGGCUAAUGUUAAACAUUAUCGUAUGCAUGAUAAUACACAAGUUGCAAGAUGUCUCCUGGCCUUCCUUAGGGGGUCAAACAGGAAUGAUUUCCUCAUAAACACAGGAGCCAAAGCUGGAAUUCAGCCUUUGAGAGAGCAGUAGCUUGUUUUCUGUAUAAGUUGGGAUUCAUGUCUGUGUGUUAUGAUUGCCAGUGUCAAGAUCUUAUAGGGCAACAGAAAGAAACGAUGUAGUAGGCGAAUACAAAGAUAUUGUCAAAGCAUUUCCUUGAUAAAAUUACGUGAAAAAUGUAUGGAUCUUUCCUCAACAGAAACCUAUUAGUGAGAUAGACUGAAUGUUUCUAAGGGUUGUAAAGAUGCUGCUUAUAGCAUACACGUAUGAAACAGACUAUUUUGACAUGACUGAGGAGGUGCUGUUCUGGCCCAUGCCAUUUCCUUUCAUGCUGAAAGAAGACGCUUUGAAAAAUUUACUAACUUAUUUCAAGAACCACAACACAGCUCAGAUACUCAUUCCUCAGCUUAUAUAUCAUCUUGAUAUGUUGGAGGAGGAAAUCCUGGAGACCCAGAUCAUUACAGAUAUUACCAGUAAUCUUAACCUUGAACUCUUAUCACCCCAAUCCAUUUAAAUCUCUGGACUAAGAAACACAGAUAGAACUCUGGGAUUAGCAGAAGUCGGCCCUGUAGGUUGAUAUGCAACACAAACAUGGACUAUGACCCCUUUGGUGUGCCUGGCCAGCCUAAACAGAAACAUAAUGAAGUGACUGUGACAUCAGAUGAAAAUGGUUCACAUAAGAUGAAUCUAACCUCAUUUGAAUUAAUCUGGCAAGAGCUGUGGGCUGGUGGCUAAGAGUGGAGUGUUCAUGUUAAGCUGAAUGCUGCUGCUGGAGAAGGAGCCAAACCCAAAAUGUGGUGGUUAGAAUAUUCUUACCAUUUUAGUGUGCUUCAUCAGCAAGAGGCUGGUUACAACAGCACUCUGAAGUACAGCUUUAUACGCUAGUCUAGGUUUGUUGUUCUUGUGAUUUAAAUACUGUUUUAAAUACCGGUUACAGUCCUAAAAGAGAUACUAUGGUCUGGGUAACUACUAACCUGUGUUAGCUCUCUGCUUUUAAUAACUGACAGCCCCAAGUGAACUGUCAAUUAAAAUUACAGAUUCCUGUUGAUCAGAGAUAUCUACAGUGAAUCUCUAGCCACUGACAAGAAACAGGCUUCUAUGCUACCAGACAGUCUGCUGUAAUAACAGGAAAAAAAUAUUUUUAAUCAUAAGCCAUAAAUGAAUUUUCUGCUGUCUUUGAGUAUGUUGUUUUGCAAAGGGAUUGGGGUAAAAGCUUUAAACAGGAGACUUUUGAAAAGCUCAUGAAAACACGUUUCCUAAAUAAAGUCCUUGAAUCUUAAUCACUCAGGAUUGAGAACUACAUUCAGAAAAGCUAAGUAACUGUUUUAUGUGCAUUGGAGAAUAUUACCUGAAAUAAUUAAUUGCCUGUAAAUACAAAA